UAUUUAUUUUUAUUUAUUUUUGUUUGUUUAUUUAAUUUUAAAUCAAGGGUAUUAGGGAUAUUUUACCUUUUAAUGAAUGUCAUUUUUGUGACUUUCUCCUUCUAGUGCUAUUUUUGUGACAUAAACUUCAAAAUGUGCUAUUAUUGACAAUUGCCCAUUUUAUUUCUUCCAUAUUAGAAAAUAUCUGUGAAAUUUAAUUCAAUUUGUUAUUAAUUUUAUAACAAUUUUCUCCAUCAAAAUGAUUUUUUUAUUAUUAAAAAAUAUUAGAUAAGUAAAAAUUUAUUUUUAUGAUAAAAUAUUAUUAUUUUACAUUCAAUAUUACUUUUUAUUUUUCAAAUUUGUAUCUAUUUUACAAAUCAAAUCAAACAUCUAAUAAAAAUAUAUAUGUUUUGCUAGAUAUGUAGAUAUCAGAUAUUUAGAAGGUUGUGAAACGGGUAAGUUGUUAAUCCAAAAAUAACAAAACAGAUUAAAAAUAUCUUGAAAAAUUCUUCCAUACCACUUCUAAAUAUAUAUUAAUAUCAACACGCUCAAAAUAUAGGAGAACUUCUUUUUUUUUUAAUAUAAGAGAUUUACACCCAAAAAAAUAUAGGAGAUUGUAACUUGGUGUCCGUGUUUGUUUACAAACACUUUGAACUGAACAUGCUUUGAAAAAAUCUGAACUAAGGGGAUGAUUGGUAAGUGCUGUAGCUUUAUAUUUUUUGCUGUAGAAUUUAAUCUGUAGAUUUAUUUGCUGUAGCUUUCUUUGCUGUAGAUUUCUAAAGCACUAAUUUUUUGCUCUGGAAAUAAAGCUCUCUACAGCCAUAUUUUGAUUUUGCAGAGAAUUUUUUGCUGUGAGUUUUUUAAGGAAAGCAAAGCUCGAUUGGUUGAGAUAUAUAGCUGUAGACUAAAUUUUGGCUGUCCAGAGCAUCUACAGCCCCAACCAAUCAUCCCCUAAAUCAAAAUGUUGAAAAUAUUAAUUUCCGGCAAAGAAAUUCUCAGCUAGGCUAUUUUUAAAAUCAAAAUUAUUUAAAAUGUUUAGAUAAUUUAAAAAUUCUCAGCUAGGCUAUUGUCUCGUGUUAUGUCCAUGUUUGAUGACUUUUGAAGUUUUGAGUUUUGACCUUUUUUAUUUAUUGGGCCAGAAAAUUCUUUUUCUAAAUAUAUGGUCAUCUAUAUAUACUAUAUUAAAAGGGGCUGAUGGAGGCUUUUUAGAGUGUCUACGUCGGACAUGAAAAUAGUCCAAUCAUAACAUUUCGUUUUACCACGUCACCAUGUACUUUUUUCGGUUUAUGACUGUACGUAUGCGCUCUCUCUAACAGUCAAGGUGGGCUUCUGUAUGGGCUCUCUCCAAAAAAAAUUAUUGGCCCACCCAGCUCCUACUUCUUCGUCUUCAAGCUUCGGAAGUCUAUCCCGACGAUUCCACUUCAUCUUCUCCGAUCCCUAAUUUUUUUUCCGCCGUUACCUUCUCAUCAAUGACUAUGUUAAAGCGAUUCUUCAAUGUUCUGUUCCACCUCCCCUUCAAUGUUCUAAACCCAAGAACGAAGCAGAGACCAUACAAGAGAAUAACAACCCGAGGAAAGAAGUGUUCGUGAUCAAACACCGGAAGAACCACGAGCGAUCCAAGACAACGAAGACAGGUCCGAAGGACUCAACAGCUUCCGAGGAGAAAUCAACCGGUACUACUACAAACCAGACUCCAGCCGAUGUAGACGCGAUACUGAUCUAGUGCGGAAGACUAAGCCAGAGCAACUCCGCCGCGGCGGCGAAAACCAAGAGGUAUUCUGUGUCCAAGAGGAGCUUCGACUUUGACAACAACGGUGACGCAGACAAAGCCGACGAAAGACGGAGGAGCGGAAGAAGAAGCCUAGCGGCGGAUUCAUCAGCAGCAGCGCGGUGGCGGAGAGUCGCGUCGGGAGCGGAAGAGACGGACUCUGAGCAGCGUCGGGAGCGAAAGAGACGGACUCCUAGCAGGGAGAGGGAGGACUCGAAGAGCUACCGAUCGGGGAGUAGGGAGAGAGGAAGCGGUAGCAGACGAGUAAGCAGAUCUCCGGAGAGAAGAUCGGAGACGACGAACCCUAAUAACGGCAUUGGCAGUUCUGUAAAUUCGAGUAACAACAACAAUAUACCUGCCAAGUUCGUUUCGGUUCCUGCAACGGAUAAAGAGAAGAGAAGCAGCAACAACAACGCAGAUGCGUCUAUUAAAAGGGUUGCUGUCAAGAUAGAUAACUGGUGUAGCAAAUAAAAGUCUUAUAGCAGUUGGCGAGACAAAUCUUCUCUUGAAAAAGACUAUUCACCAUGUUUCUACAAUGUUGAAGAGGGUACCCCUUAAGCCGAGAAAAAAACUAUAAUCUCUUGAUUCCCACGUUAAUGGACAGAAGAACUGGUCAAUGGAACAUAGCCAGCUUGAGCCUAAGACUGAGCUUUGAUAGAGGAACGAAAGGUGGUUCAAAGAAGUCUGCUGAAAAUGGGUUUAUGACAGGAGGUGGCUGUAAUAGCUCGAGCAGCAGAGUAGGAAGACAAACCUGGUAAUUUAUUUUUCUUUGAAAUCGCAUGUGUAUGCACAUUAAUCUUUUCUUAAUGUACACAUUAUUGAGUAUUGAAUAAAUUUGGAGGGGAUAAUGUCACCAGAACUUGAUGUCAAA